UGCUGGUCAGACACCGAUCCGGCUGGUGCUAUACAAGAAGCAUUGGUUGUGGUCACCACAUAUCUCUCUGAAGAGAUUGUGUUUGGUAGCACGAGCUCCCCAGUAAGUAUAAUUUACAGCUGCAUAUUCGAGUAGAGCCGCAAAGACAAAGA